UGGCGACCGGCGCACGGGUGAGUAACACGUAUCCAACCUGCCGAUGACUCGGGGAUAGCCUUUCGAAAGAAAGAUUAAUACCCGAUGGCAUAGUUCUUCCGCAUGGUAGAACUAUUAAAGAAUUUCGGUCAUCGAUGGGGAUGCGUUCCAUUAGCUUGUUGGCGAGGUAACGGCCCACCAAGGCAUCGAUGGAUAGGGGUUCUGAGAGGAAGGUCCCCCACAUUGGAACUGAGACACGGUCCAAACUCCUACGGGAGGCAGCAG
rnacentral:rRNA from 1 species